GCGCUGAAACGCCCAUCUGAAGGAGGAUUUAGCAGUAAGCAGGAAGUAGAGCGUCCCGCUGAAAAUGGCCCUGAAGCGCGCACACACCGCCCGUCACUCUCCCCGAAAUCAUACCCCAAAUAUUAAAUAAAACCAGAUACUAGAGAGGGGAGGUAAGUCGUAACAUGGUAAGUGUACUGGAAGGUGCACUUGGAAAAUC
rnacentral:rRNA from 1 species